rnacentral:rRNA from 1 species
UAGGAAAUCUUCCACAAUGGACGAAAGUCUGAUGGAGCAACGCCGCGUGAGUGAAGAAGGGUUUCGGCUCGUAAAACUCUGUUGUUAAAGAAGAACAUAUCUGAGAGUAACUGUUCAGGUAUUGACGGUAUUUAACCAGAAAGCCACGGCUAACUACGUGCCAC